CCUACGGGAGGCAGCAGUGGGGAAUAUUGUACAAUGGGCGAAAGCCUGAUGCAGCAACGCCGCGUGAAGGAAGAAGGGUUUCGGCUCGUAAACUUCUAUCAACAGGGACGAAAGAAAUGACGGUACCUGCAUAAGAAGCCCCGGCUAACUACGUGCCAGCAGCCGCGGGAAUACGUAGGGGGCAAGCGUUAUCCGGAAUUACUGGGUGUAAAGGGUGAGUAGGCGGCAUGGUAAGCCAGAUGUGAAAGCCUUGGGCUUAACCCGAGGAUUGCAUUUGGAACUAUCAAGCUAGAGUACAGGAGAGGAAAGCGGAAUUCCUAGUGUAGCGGUGAAAUGCGUAGAGAUUAGGAAGAACACCAGUGGCGAAGGCGGCUUUCUGGACUGAAACUGACGCUGAGGCACGAAAGCGUGGGGAGCGAACAGGAUUAGAUACCCUUGUAGUC
rnacentral:rRNA from 1 species